rnacentral:rRNA from 1 species
GAUGAACGCUAGCGGCAGGCUUAAUACAUGCAAGUCGAGGGACAGCACAGGUAGCAAUACUGGGUGGUAACCGGCAAACGGGUGCGGAACACGUACACAACCUUCCUUUAAGUGGGGGAUAGCCCAGAGAAAUUUGGAUUAAUACCCCGUAAUAUAGUUGAAUGGCAUCAUUUGAUUAUUAUAGCUACGGCGCUUAAUGAUGGGUGUGAGGCUGAUUAGAUAAUUGGCGGGGUAACGGCCCACCAAGUCUACGAUCAGUAGCUGAUGUGAGAGCAUGAUCAGCCACACGGGCACUGAGACACGGGCCCGACUCCUACGGGAGGCAGCAGUAAGGAAUAUUGGUCAAUGGACGCAAGUCUGAACCAGCCAUGCCGCGUGAAGGAUUAAGGUCCUCUGGAUUGUAAACUUCUUUUAUUUGGGACGAAAAAGGGUCUUUCUAGACCAACUGACGGUACCAGAUGAAUAAGCACCGGCUAACUCCGUGCCAGCCGCCGCGGUAAGAC